CUUUUUUUUAUGCGGACAAUCGCACCAAAAAGAAGUAAAAAAAGUCACUCCUUGGUCGCUCUCCGCACAAGUUAUUCGCCAUUCUUUUCCUCGUCGAUCUCACGAAAACCCCUCUUUAAACCUUCUGCUCUUUGGCUCUCCAAUGGCGAAACCAUAUUUUCUUCGAAUCCUUUUAGGGUUUGUCCUCUUUUUCUCCGUCCCCGCAGCAGAUGGAGGAUCGAUCCACGAUCUCCUUCGCGACCAUGGCCUGCCGGCUGGUCUACUCCCCACUGCGGUGUCAUCUUACAAUCUGGAUCAGGACACUGGUGUGUUGGAAGCUCAUCUCGACCGUCCGUGCUACGCCAAAUACGACGGAUUGGUAUUCUUCAACGAGACGGUUAGGGGUAAUUUGAGCUUCGGUGGGUUGAGGGGUUUAGUGGGUCUUUCGCAGGAGGAGCUUUUUCUAUGGCUGCCGGUUAAGGAGAUAUUGGUUGAUGAUCCUUCGUCGGGAGUUAUUCUGUUUGAUAUGGGCGUUGCUCAUAAGCAAUUGUCGCUUUCGCUGUUUGAGAAUCCGCAGGAUUGUAGUGUGGGUGCAGGGAUUAAUGGGAAAGGAUUUAUCCGGAUGAUUAGAGAAGGUCUCCUUACUGAUAAUCUAAGAUUCUAGGGGCUGUCUGGCAAUGGAGUUAGCUCGAGAUUUAAGCGGGGUGUAGGCUAAAUCUUGCCAGAAGGUCAUUUUGGACAAAAUAAAGCUGCAAAUUUGAUAAAUCUAGAUUUCACGGAUUUUGGCCGUAAAUCCUGAAUUUAUUAAAUCCCGUGAAUUAGAGGAUUUACGGGAUUUACGGCGCACGAGAAGGUAAGAAUGCAGGAUUUGGAAGGAAGGCAAUAGGAUUCCUGGGGGGAUGACAAGGACUUAAAAAAUGCUUUAGAUUUGUACUUC